rnacentral:rRNA from 1 species
AUUGAACGCUGGCGGCAGGCCUAACACAUGCAAGUCGAACGAGGGGCGGAAGGGUGAGUAAUGUCUGGGAAACUGCCUGAUGGAGGGGGAUAACUACUGGAAACGGUAGCUAAUACCGCAUACCCUCAGAUGUGCCCAGAUGGGAUUAUCUAUGUGGUGGGGUAACGGCGCACCAAGGCGAAGAUCCCUAGCUGGUCUGAGAGGAUGACAAGCCACACUGGAACUGAGACACGGUCCAGACUCCUACGGUAGGCAGCAGUGGGGAAUAUUGCACAAUGGGCGCAAGCCUGAUGGAGCCAUGCCGCGUGUAUGAAGAAGGCCUUCGGGUUGUAAAGUACUUUCAGCGGGGAGGCGUUACCCGCAGAAGAAGCACCGGCUAACUCCGUGCCAGCAGCCGCGGUAAUUC